rnacentral:lncRNA from 1 species
AAUUAUUUUUUUUAUAAAAUUGCGUUAUUGGUUCAGUGGUUUGAGAAAUCAUUUUGUUCUUCAAGUGCAUGGGUUGGAAUCUUCGUAUUGAAAAUGAAUUUUUUAAGAGAAAAGAAACAAAGAAUAAAAAAAUCAUAAAAAAUGGGGUUGGAGGGAGUAGAACACACAACCUCCAGUUGUAAGGCGUGCUGGUUUCUCCUGGGAACCACUAGGACACGC